GGGGCGGUCUCAGCAGCCGGCUGUGAUGAGAAGCGGGCAGUCAGGCUGCCUGGAGGGAAUCUGGGCGGCUGGCCAUUGUCUGUGAAGGGGCAGCCUGACAGCAGCUGGAGGACGUGCACCCGGAGCAGACGCUCCCCGGGGGCCGGAUCAGGAGCAGCUCCCACGCUCCACCUGCCGCAGAGAGGCUGGCAAAACUCUGGGGCUUCCUCUCUCCUGCAGAGAGAGCACCGGCAGGUUCAGAGUCUGGCCACCCUCUCUCGGGCCCCGCCGAGAUCUGGGGAGAGCCGGGGGCCUCAAGCGGAUGUGUCCUGAGAGAUUGUCCUCAAGCCCUUGGAUGGAGGUUUCAGCCAAACUCCCCACCAGUGGUGGGUCAGCGACGGCAGGUCAGCCCAGGUCCUUACUUGCAGAAGGAAGGCAGCCAUUCAGGCUGCUGUAGGAACCAGCAGGUGGGAGGGUGGUGACGGAGACCAGCUGGAUCCUGAGGCCAGCUCAUCACUCCCCAAGGAUGCAGCCUUUGGGGGGAUGGUUUGUGCCCUCCCCUGUAAAAUGGGCAUAGAUCAGGGAGUAUGUAGACAUGAAGGGGGCUGAUACUGGCACAUAGCAAACGCUCGCUGCCUGGAGGACAGACCCCCGGUCUCAAAGCUUGUUCCAUGACCGAGUUAGAGGAAGAAGGAAUCCUUUGCAGCCCAGCACUGUGUCCUCUGAUAAGCCUGGUCCCCUGGGCGUUGAGAAGACACGGGGUGGAGCGAAGGGAAAAGGUUAGACCCAGCUGGAGGACACGGUCAUGGAGCCGUGAGAGGUAAUGUUUGACUCUAGGAGUUCCCGUCAUGGCGCAGCAGAAAUGAAUCCAACUAGGAACCAUGAGGUUGCAGGUGCAAUCCCUGGCCUCGAUCAGUGGGUUAAGGAUCUGGCAUUGCUGUGAGCUGUGGUGUAAGUCACAGAUGCAGCUUGGAUCUGGUGUUUCUGUGGCUGUGGUGUAGGCUGGCGGCUGCAGCUCCGAUUUGACCCCUAGCCUGGGAACCUCCAUAUGCCGUGUGGCCCUAAAAAGACCAAAAGACAAAAAAAAAAAAAAGAAAAGUGUUUGACUCUCCACUUAGGAAUUUUGAAUAAUGGGUUUUCUUAGACAUACAUCGCACAAGAACCUACAAAUUUCAGCAGGGAGGUAAAUCUGAGCAUGAGGAGAUUCAGCCUCAAACCUUCCCAGCUACAAAGCUUCCUCUUGAAACAUAAGCUUUUUCCUCCAGCUCAUUUCAUGCUGGUUUUCCAAGUGGGGACAGGCAUGGGUACCCCAUAGCAGAGCUGACCCGAGGUAGAUGGCUGGUGGACAGUGAGGAAGAAUGCCACGGGGCAGCCAAGAAGACUGUGUCAUCCUGCCAUGGGACUUGUGGUGUAACCGGGCACACGGGCCUGUCAACAAGAACGCGGGCCAUGAAAUUUCACCGGAGGCUCUUGCCGAGAAAUGAAGAAGGGACAGCAGAGGGCUUAUGAGUUAGAUGGACAGGCAUCUGGACAAUCCAUGUCACCACAACCAAGAAAAAUGCUUUGCUUAAUUUGAGGACACCCUAAAAGGCCAAAACAUGGAACAAAACUAUCUCUGGUAGCCCCCAAAUUCGCGCAGGUGUGCCGCUGAGUGUGCUUUACGGCGCUGUUAUUCAUUUUUUAAAAACGGGGAAAGAAAGACCCUGUGACUGUCUUCCUAGGUGUGAAGCGCGAGGACUGGCACUGGUCCCCAGUCCACAUUUCAGAGAACGGCCACUGGCUCUGUCCCACCAGCCACCCGGCCUGACAGCGCAUCCUCCAGCCGAUGCUAUUAUAGAAGGACUCCCCUUCUCAUCUUCAUUUAACACCGUGCAAGAUAGACAUCCUUGUCCUUUGCUAAAUUGAAGGGAAGAAAACCUUUUCUUGGCUUACAUCCUUUCAGUAACUUUCUACUGAGCACCUACUGCCUGCCAGACGAUAAAGCAAGAAAUAACACACGGCUUUACCUUCAGAAACCUCACAAUAUUGCGGGGGAAUAAAAAAAAAAAAAGAAAUUAUGUCAAGACGAUAGUGAGCCAGGUUUUCAGUGUUGACAGGGAAGGGGGCUCCUAACCAGCGGCCACGGAGGGGGACCAACAGGGGCACGACGUCUUGGGAAAGUCUCCUUGAAGGAGCCGAUGCCUUCGAGUCUCUUUCAUCGCCGGCGAAGGGGAUCUAUUUGAGCAAAGUUAGGAAUUCACACAACCCUGCCACGCAUCAGAGCAGGAGGAAAACAUUUCCAAUUAUCUCUCCUGCUUAAGCACCCCAUGCUGUUACACCUGGGGUCCUCAGGACUUAUUUUAAUAAACCCUUUUCCAUUUUGAACAUGCACUCGAUGAAAGUUAAUUAAAAGGGUGUAAA
rnacentral:lncRNA from 1 species